rnacentral:rRNA from 1 species
GCCCUACGGGGCGCAGCAGGCGCGAAAACUUUACAAUGCGAGAAAUCGUGAUAAGGGAACCCCGAGUGCCCGUAAAUUCGGGCUGUCCAUCAGUGUAAAAAACUGGUGAAGAAAGGGCCGGGCAAGACCGGUGCCAGCCGCCGCGGUAAUACCGGCGGCUCGAGUGGUGGCCACUAUUACUGGGCUUAAAGCGUCCGUAGCUGGAUUGUUAAGUCUCUUGGGAAAUCCACCGGCUCAACCGAUGGGCGUUCAGGAGAUACUGGCAAUCUAGGGACCGGGAGAGGUGAGAGGUACUCCAGGGGUAGGAGUGAAAUCCUGUAAUCCUUGGGGGACCACCUGUGGCGAAGGCGUCUCACUAGAACGGCUCCGACAGUGAGGGACGAAAGCUGGGGGAGCAAACCGGAUUAGAUACCCGGGUAGUCCCAGCUGUAAACGAUGCGCGUUAGGUGUAUCGGUGACCACGAGUCAUCGAGGUGCCGAAGGGAAACCGUGAAACGUGCCGCCUGGGAAGUACGGUAGCAAGGCUGAAACU